GUGAGGGGCAGGGUGGAGUCUGCAGCCCCACACCGGCCUUGCCUCUGGAAUCUGGCAAGGCAGAGGGCUGAGCUGGGCAGGGUGGGCUCCAUAGACUGCCUUGCCCUUGGUGCCUGCAGGAAGAGGCGACCUUGGGGGCAAGCUCCUGCCCCUGUGUGCAGAGCGUUCAGGGCUCCACGUUGAUGCCGGUCCAUGUGGAGCGGGAAAUCCGGCUGCUAGGCAGGAACCUGCACCUUUUCCAGGAUGGCCCAGGAGACAAUGAGUGUGUGAUGGAGCUGGAGGGCCUCGAGGUGGUGGUUGAGGCCCGGGUCGAGUGUGAGCCACCUCCAGAUACCCAGUGCCAUGUCACCUGCCAGCAGCACCAGGUGCACACC
rnacentral:lncRNA from 1 species